rnacentral:rRNA from 1 species
GAUGAACGCUGGCGGUAUGCUUAACACAUGCAAGUCGAACGGUACCUUCGGGUAUAGUGGCGGACGGGUGAGUAACGCGUGAGAAUCUAUCUUCAGGUCGGGGACAACAGUUAGAAAUGACUGCUAAUACCGGAUGUGCCGAAAGGUAAAAGAUUUAUUGCCUGAAAAAGAGCUCGCGUCAGAUUAGCUAGUAGGUGGUGUAAGAGACUACCUAGGCUUCGAUCUGUAGCUGGUCUGAGAGGACGAUCAGCCACACUGGAACUGAGACACGGUCCAGACUCCUACGGGAGGCAGCAGUGGGGAAUUUUCCGCAAUGGGCGAAAGCCUGACGGAGCAAUACCGCGUGAGGGACAAAGGCUCUUGGGUCGUAAACCUCUUUUCUCAAGGAAGAUUCAGACGGUACUUGAGGAAUAAGCAUCGGCUAACUCUGUG